AGAAAAAGUACGGAGUAGUAGACCUUAACUGAGUAAAGGUUCUGGAUGAUGAGGAUGAGACAGCAAAGGACACUGAGAAGAAGCAGGGAAUGAAGAAGGAAGAGCGCCAAAACAUAACAGUCUGUAUUUUUGUCUACUUUUCUGAUUACUCACCGUAGCCAAGACAUGGAAACAACUAAAUGUCCUUUGAUGGAUGAAUGGAUAAAGAACAUAUAUGAAAUAGAAUAUUAGCCUUAAAAGAAGGAAACCCUGCCAUCUGUGACAACGUGGGGGGACCUGGAGAACAUUAUGCUAAGUGAACACAGAAAGCAAAUUACCCAUGGAAACAAGCUCAACUUUAGAAAAUGAUCUACUUUAACAAUCUGGUGCCUGAUGAGAAUGGGAGAAGAAGAAACAGAGGAAGAGAGGGAAAGGAGUGUUAUUGAAAUGUGUCUCCUACAUAACGCCAAUAAGCCCUAACCCACUGAGAUACACAUUGUGAUCAUUUUCUUACUACAGUUGUGUGAAUUUGCUGGGAUGUAUGCUCAACAGGAAAUCCACUUUGAUGAAAUGCAUUUUUCAAUCUGGAAGAUUAAAGUCCAACUUUAUUACCAAUCUCAUUCCUACCACUUUGUAGUUGCCUUUAGCUGUAUUAAACCUGUCUGGUGGCAAAAUGAAUGACCUCCUCCUAACUGAAGCCAUACAGUGACUCGUAUUGUUCACCAAGAAAAAGAGAAUUCUUGUAUUAAAAGAAUACCAAUUACAGAUCCCUGAUGGUCCAUUCAUAGUAUCUCCACUAACGGAUGAAAAAAAUGUUCCCUGCACAGACUGCAUCUUUUUUCAAACAUUUGUGGUGUCCCAGCUUAAUAAAAAGAGAAAAAAAGAGGCACACAUAAAAAUCAAGGAAUAAACUGAAAACCCCUGAUUACUGAGA